ACAAGCCCGUCACCGACCAACAGUUAAUAGAGAAAAUUACCCAGGUCACUGAGGACAACAUCAGUUUUCAGCAGAAAAAGUGGACCCUCCAGAAAGAGACCCAGCUGAGCAACUCCAAGCAGGAGGAGACCACCGAGAACAUCGAGAAGCUGAGGACGUCGCUGGACAGCUGCCAGGCUUGCAUGAAAAUGUCCUGUUGCAGCCAUGACCUGAAGAAGGAGGUCGACCUUCUUCAGCACCUCCAGGUGAGCCCACCUGUCUCGGGGCUCCAGAAGGUGGUGCUGGACGUCCUGAGGCACUCGCUGUCCUGGCUGGAGGAGGUGGAGCAGCUCCUCCGGGACCUCGGGAUCUCGCCCUCCAGCCCCAACAAAGGGUUCUCCUUGUAUCUGAUAAAUCUUCUGGAACAUUAUAAAAAACUUAUGAGCCAGGCCCAGGAACUUCAGAUCAAGUUCAACAGUUCUCAGGAAACUCAGCAGUCUUUACUGCAAGAAAAGCUGCGGGAGCAUCUGGCAGAGAAGGAGAAGCUGAACGAGGAGAGGCUUGAGCAAGAGGAGAAGCACAAAGCCAAAAUCAGGCAACUGACGGAAGAGAAGGCGGUAAGGCUUUGGAGGAGUGCAUUACUCAGGAGAGAAACAGAGCGAAAGAGACUUUAGAGGAAGAACGGAAGAGAAUGCAAGAACUGGAGAGCCUCCUGGCCCAGCAGCAGAAGGCUUUGGCGGAAAGCAUUACCCAGGAGAAGAACAGAGUGAAGGAAGCAUUAGAGGUAGAGCAGACAAGAGUGCAAGAGCUGGAGAAACGCUUGGCCCGCCAGAAGGAGGUUUUGGAGAGCAGCAUAGCCCAUGAGAAAAGAAAAGCAAAGGAAGCCUUGGAGUCGGAAAAGAGAAAAGUUCAGGAUCUAGAGAACCACUUAACCCAACAGAAGGAGAUCUCAGAGAGCAACAUUGCCUACGAGAAACGCAAAGCAAAGGAGGCCGUGGAGAAGGAAAAGAAAAAGGUGCAAGACCUGGAGAAUCGCUUAACCCAGCAGAAAGAGGAAUUAGAAUUAAAAGAGCAAAAAGAGGACGUUUUAAAUAAUAAAUUAAGUGAUGCACUGGCCAUGGUUGAAGAGACUCAGAAAACAAAGGCAACUGAAAGUCUAAAAGCAGAGAGCCUCGCCUUGAAAUUAAAUGAAACAUUAGCCGAACUGGAAACUACCAAGACAAAAAUGAUCACGGUGGAAGAGAGGCUGAUCCUGCAGCAGAAGAUGGUAAAGGCCCUCCAGGAUGAGCAGGAAUCACAGAGACACGGGUUUGAAGACGAGAUCAUGGAAUAUAAGGAGCAAAUCAGACAGCACUCCCAGACAAUUGUGAGCCUUGAAGAGAAACUCCAGAAAGUCACUCAGCACCAUAAAAAAAUAGAAGGCGAGAUUGCAACAUUGAAGGACAACGACCCAACCCAAAAGGAGGAAAGGCCGCAAGACCCUCUGGUGGCUCCCACGACAGAGAGCAGUGCCAAAGACAUGGCGUACGAACAUCUGAUAGAUGACUUAUUGGCUGCUCAGAAGGAAAUUCUGUCUCAGCAGGAGGUCAUCAUGAAGUUAAGGAAAGACCUUACCGAAGCCCACAGCAGAAUGUCGGAUUUGAGAGGAGAGCUAAAUGAGAAGCAGAAGAUGGAACUGGAGUGGAACGUGGCGCUGGUCCAGCAGCAGAGCAAGGAGCUGAGUCUGCUCAAGGAGAAGAUGGCCCAGAUGAGCAGCCUGGUAGAAAAGAAAGACCGGGAGCUGAAGGCCCUCAAGGAGGCACUCAGGGCUACCCAAGAGAAACACAGACUCCAGCUGAACACAGAGAAGGAACAGAAGCCCCGGAAGAAGACCCAGAUGUGUGACAUCUCUGUGCAGAUAGAACCCAUUCACACUGAGGCCUUCUCCAGCAGCCAAGAGCAAUCCUUCAGCGAUCUAGGGGUCAGGUGCAAAGGGUCCCGGCACGAGGAGGUCAUUCAGCGUCAGAAAAAGGCCUUAUCUGAACUUCGAGUGCGAGUUAAAGAACUUGAGAAGGCGCGCUCACCAGAUCAUAAAGACCACAAGAAUGAAUCAUUUCUAGAUUUAAAGAACCUCAGAAUGGAAAACAAUGUCCAGAAAAUACUACUGGAUGCAAAACCGGAUUUGCCAACUCUCUCAAGAAUAGACAUCCUAGCGCCUCAGAAUGGCCUUUGCAAUGCAAGGUUCAGCUCAGCCAUGGAGAAGUCAGGGAAGAUGGAUGUGGCUGAGGCUUUAGAGCUCAGUGAAAAGCUGUACCUGGAUAUGAGCAAAACCCUCGGAAGUCUGAUGAACAUCAAGAAUAUGUCAGGCCACGUGUCCAUGAAAUACCUCUCCCGCCAGGAGAGGGAGAAGGUCAACCAGCUUCGACAAAGGGACCUCGACCUGGUGUUUGAUAAGAUCACCCAACUCAAGAACCAGCUGGGGAGGAAAGAGGAGCUGUUGAGAGGAUAUGAAAAGGACGUUGAACAGCUCAGGCGGAGCAAAGUGUCCAUUGAGAUGUACCAGUCGCAGGUGGCAAAGCUGGAGGAUGAUAUCUACAAAGAGGCCGAAGAGAAGGCCCUGCUGAAGGAGGCCCUGGAGCGCAUGGAGCACCAGCUGUGCCAGGAGAAGAGGAUCAACAGGGCCAUCCGGCAGCAGAAGUAAAUGGGAGCUUCCAGCCCCUGCCUCGCAGGCAGAUGGUGAGGAUGAAAGAAUGCAGGCAUCCCUCGCUAUCUGCUGUCCACUCUUGCUGUCGUCAGACCUCGGGAACCAAGUGCUUUUGGAUGGUGAGGGUGCUUGUCCUGUCUCUGAAGCACCUGUCCAGGGCCUGGCACCAGCCGGUAGACACUGCCUUCCCCGUGCUGCCUGUGACCCACGCACGUGGUCUCCUGGGAAAGUGUAGAGGAGCACGAACCGAGAAACGGAAAAGAAUCGACACCUUGCAACUGUGCCUUCAAAGAGAAAGACAGGCAGAGACGAGUAUUUGUAGAGAUGGUGAAGAACAGGAUGCAGAACUCAAAUUCCCAGGUUGGAACCAGAAAAGCCUCCCUAAAGAUGGACCAAGAAAGAGGGAUGCUGAGAAAAGAGACCUCCAGCAAGUCCAGCCAGAGCCUUUUGCAUUCUAAGCAAAGUGGAAAGUACUAGAGAAACCUCGUCCCACCAGGCCUCGUGUGAUCCUCUGUGAGUUCAUGUGACUCUUCUGUGUCAUCUGUGUCAAAAUACUGAGUUGCUUUUGUAGGACGUUAAA
rnacentral:sRNA from 1 species